rnacentral:lncRNA from 1 species
AUCCCAAACAGCCAAGUCUCAUGUGGCAGGAGGACAAAGUGAGCCAGAAAAUCUUGCAUAUUCCACUUAUGAUUUAGCAAAAGGAAGGCAACAAUAGAAACAUUCUGAAGAUCCAUGUCCUUGUUUACAUAUGUGGGCGACGCAUGAAGAGGAAGACCGGUAAUCCAAGAACCAAAGAGCACACAAGAAAUUUUUUGUGCACCAC